rnacentral:rRNA from 1 species
CCAAGCGUUGUUCGGAUUCACUGGGCGUAAAGGGUGCGUAGGUGGUGGGGUAAGUCGGAUGUGAAAGCUCGGAGCUCAACUCCGAAAUGGCAUUGGAAACUACCCUGCUAGAGGAUUGGAGGGGGGACUGGAAUACUUGGUGUAGCAGUGAAAUGCGUAGAUAUCAAGUGGAACACCAGUGGCGAAGGCGAGUCCCUGGACAAUACCUGAGACUGAGGCACGAAAGCUAGGGGAGCAAUCAGG